AGCCUCUCUCCUCCCUACGGGCGGAAGUGGGUCCAUUUUCUCCCCCCUCAGUCGGAUAAGAGCGGCUCGAGGAGCUGCAGCCCGAGCAACACGCGCCCGCGAGAGCGCACGCCUCAUGUUUAUGUUAAGGUUAAUUCACUCGAGAGGAAACAGCGGCAAAAGCAGCCGAGCGAGGGGACGUGGUUAAGGUCCAUACGGUCGCGGGACCGAGUUUUUCCCGGUUUUAGGGCGCCCUUUUUCCGCGGCGCCGGAGGAAAAACCCUGCGCAUUCCUCCACGCAGAGAGCCCGAGAGGGAGACCAGCCUACGGACCGGCUGGGGAAGGAGAGCUGGAAGCGGCCCUCUUCACAAGGUGGACCGGUGAAUUCGCCCACGGAGGCUUGUCACGGACGUGUGCGGUCCGAUGUUUGGGGUCUCUCUCUGUGUUCGGCUUUGAUGCUCGAGCGACCCCAGGCACGCUACGCGGUCGUUGCUUUGAUGAAUAAUUUACGCUCUCUCGGUCCGAGGCUCGCGCUGCGACUACCAAGCGACCGUUGGCUGCGCCCGACGCCGCCUGAAAGGGCCCCGAUGGUGGACUAGAGAGAAACACCCGACACGACCACGACCACGACACGGGCCUAAAUUUGAGUGCAGACAAAUAAAAACCCAAUUUAAAGAAGGGAUUAGAAACACUUUGGUGAUCCUCUGGGUGCUGCGGAGCCCCAUAGUCAUGUUGCCGAGUCGGUGGGGGAGGAGAGACGGAUCCCCCAGUACUUCGACGCCGAUCCAGUGUCACUCCAGUUUCGGGGUUAUUUUAUGAGCCUCAGCGAAGCACCGUCGGUCACUUUGUCUCCGCAGAAGCGUCAGCAUCGUGCAUUGUCAUCUUGUUCGUUUUAUUUGAGAGAAUGAGGCCGAUGCUUCCCCCUAAAACGCCUUACACGCCCGAAUUGAUCUUGACACCGCAAGUAUUUUUUUCUUUUUGUUACCUCAGAAACAGUCGUUGAAGAACUGGCUACCUCCCUCGUUUUGCAUCAGGUCAGAGAAAAAUCUGUACGUCGCUUAGCACCGUUUCCACUUUUGAGCUGACUUUAAUACCUCAUGAAUCUACCUCAAUUAGCACAUUAUUUUCUACACAACGCAACGGGCCGAUGUGUCACCAGAUGAAUACCUCAACCUCACUGCUGCCCGUGUUAUAAACUGAGCCCGUGUUUCGGUAACGCUGCAGAUGGCUUCAUUUCCAGACUCGGACCUGCAGACGUGCCCGCUCUGCAAGGAGCUGUGCGGCUCCUCUGCUCCUAUCUCCUCCAGCUCUUCUACCUCCUCAUCUUCCUCACAUACCUCGUCCUCCUCCAGCCAGACCACCAGGAGACUCCAUGUCCUGCCCUGCCUCCACGCCUUCUGCAGGCAGUGCCUAGAGGGCCAGCGUAGUCCCGGGGACCCGCUGAAGCUGCGUUGCCCCACCUGCGACCAGAAGGUGUCCAUCUCUGAGGCCGGGGUGGACUCCCUGCCUUCCUCCAACUUCCUCUUCAGCAACCUGCUAGACGUGGUGGUGAGCUCUGAGGAGCAGAUCCAGAACAAGAACGGACACCACCACCGGGGAGGCUUAGGAGGAGGCUCCUCCGGCUUCCAUCACCCCCAUGGAGGCCUGCUGCAUCCGCACCACCUGGGAGAGCCUCAGUGCAGCUCCUGCGAUGAGGAGAACCCAGCCACCUCCCACUGCCUUGACUGCCAGGAAUAUCUGUGCGACAACUGCGUGCGGGCACACCAGCGGGUGCGGCUGACCAAGGACCACUUCAUCGAGUGCCUGGGAGAGAACCUCCACCUGGGCCGGGUCAAUGCCAACAGCAACCCGGGCCAACCAGGGGUGUCGGUGUCCCUCGCCCAGUCCCUACAGAACAACUUCGCCCUGCUGUCACUGUUCCAGGACCGCAUGAGCUUCUGCCAACACCAUGACACUGAAGUGUUCCUGUUCUUCUGUGAAACAUGCUCGGUGCCUAUCUGCAGAGAGUGCAGUGUGGGCCGUCAUAUGGGCCACACCUUUGUUUACCUGCAAGACGCCGUGCAGGACUGCAGGGCCAUCACCAUCCAGCUGCUUGCAGACGCACAGCAGGGACGACAGGCUGUGCAGCUAAGCAUGGAGAAGGUCCAGGCAAUGGCAGAGCAAGUGGAGAUCAAGGCUAAGGUGGUGCAGACUGAAGUGAAGGCCCUUGUUCUGAGACACAAGAAAGCGCUGGAGGAGAGGGAGUGUGAACUACUGUGGAAGGUGGAGAAGAUCCGUCAGCUGAAGGCCAAGUCUCUGUACCUGCAAGUGGAGAAGCUGCACCAGAGUCUGACCAAGUUGGACAGCACCAUCGCUGCCGUCAGCCAGGUGCUGGAUGAGGGCCGCCACCUAGAUGUGCUGCUGGCCAGGGAGCGAAUGCUCACCCAGAUCCAUGAAUUGAAGGCCCUCAGAGGCCUGCUUCAGCCACAAGAGGACGACCGCUUCAUGUUUACUCCUCCAGACCAGGCUUUGUACAUAGCCAUCCAGUCCAUGGGCCUGAUCAGUAGUGGAGCCUUUGCCCCGGUGACCAAAGCCCAUGGUGAGGGUCUGAAAAGUGGGCUUCGUGGCAAGCCUGCCUCUUUUACUGUGAUUGGAUAUGACCAUGAUGGCGAGCCACGUCUUUCUGGAGGGGACACAGUUUCCGCAAUAGUCAUGUCAGUCGGCGAUGGUAACCUGUCUGCGGCAGAGGUAACAGACCACCAGAAUGGCUCAUACACCGUCGGCUACGUGCCCAAAUGUGAGGGGGAGCACCUUGUGUCGGUGCUGGUGUGUAACCAGCACAUCCUGGGAAGCCCCUUCAAGGUGAUCGUGAAGUCUGGGCGGAGCUAUGGAUCUUUGGGUGCCCAAGUCUCUUCCUUCGGGUGCGAGGGGGAGGGAGAUGGUCAGCUCUGUCGUCCCUGGGGCAUCAGCGUGGACAAGGAGGGAUACGUGGUGGUGGCUGAUCGCAGCAACAACCGCAUACAGAUAUUCAAGCCUUGUGGUGCCUUCCACCAUAAGUUUGGCUCUCUGGGUUCUCGGCCUGGUCAGUUUGAUCGUCCAGCUGGGGUUGCAUGUGACAGUCAGAGACGAAUCAUUGUGGCUGAUAAGGACAAUCACCGUGUGCAGGUGUUUACUUUUGAGGGCCAGUUCCUGCUGAAGUUUGGGGAAAAGGGUACCAAGAAUGGGCAGUUCAACUAUCCCUGGGAUGUGGCUGUCAACUCUGAGGGUAAGAUCCUGGUCUCAGACACCAGGAACCACCGUGUGCAGCUCUUCGCCCCCGACGGCUCUUUCCUCAACAAGUAUGGCUUUGAAGGGGCCCUGUGGAAACACUUUGACUCUCCCAGAGGAGUGGCCUUUAAUCAUGAAGACCACCUGGUGGUGACUGACUUCAACAACCACCGGCUCCUGGUCAUCCGGCCGGACUGUCAGUCAGCUCGCUUUCUGGGCUCUGAGGGCACUGGAAACGGGCAGUUUCUGCGGCCCCAGGGUGUUGCUGUUGACCAGGAAAACCGCAUCAUCGUGGCCGACUCCCGCAACCACAGAGUCCAAGUGUUCGAGCCCAAUGGAAACUUCUUAUGCAAAUUUGGCACGCAGGGGAGUGGCUUUGGACAGAUGGAUCGCCCCUCCGGUGUGGCUGUGACGCCUGACGGAGUCAUUGUGGUCGUUGACUUUGGAAAUAAUCGCAUUCUCAAAUUCUAAAAAAAGUUGAUUUUUGCACUCUCUUCCUCCGUUAGUCCUUUUUGCAGUUUCUCGAUGAAGGAAAUGGAGGAGAGAGAGUGAAUCAACCGACACAACGGGAGGAGAGCUCAGAUAGGAUUGAGAGCAGGUUGAAAUGAAGGGAAAUUAAAACAGUAGAUGAUUAUUUUUUUCAAUUACAUUGAUAUUCUCCAAAUCAGAUAUCCGUGGUAUGUAUGCCAAAGGGGGACCUCUAUAAAUUGAUAAUCAGUAGAAAAAGAGCCAUACUUCCCCUUCGUCACUCUCAGCUGUUCUGAAUUCUCUCUGCAAGCUCUCCUUAAGUAUCCAUCUCAGGGAAUUUCUCACUUUUCUUGAAAUCUUAUACCCUCUGCUCCACACCUACCUCAUUUAGCUCUUUAUGAAUGUACUCAUAGUCACUGAGCAGAGGUUUUAGUCCGUGAAGUUUUACAAAGAAGAAAAGUCUACCUCUAUACUUUGUUAUUUAAGAGAGACAAAAAAGAAUAGACUCUUCAGUUGAUAUUUGCACAGGAUUAAUGGAAUUCUUGCUGUGCAUUUUGAAAUAUGAGUUAAAGUGAACCUCCUGAAUGUUGUUGCUGAGACAAUACUCAGACCACUGUAGAGGCUGCAUGAUUUAUUCUCAUUAGAAGGUUUCGCUCGGAGAGGAAACUGGGGUACAGUAGUGUCCUUUUCAUGUUUUAGGCUAGUUAUUUUUUUGCUUAUGCAUCGAUCCUUGUCUCUUUGUGGCUCUGUGGAGUUUGUAGUGUCAUGAUAGCCUAAGAAGAGUGUGAAAAGCGAUGCCAAACUUGAUAGAAUCAAAAUUAGCUCAGGUCAUGGUAGGACUGAUUAAAAUGAUCAGUACUUUUCAGGCUCCCCCUCUAGCUUUACUGGCUAAUGAAUUUGAAUGAAUUUAUUGAUGAGCAUAAAUAUAAAGUUUAGGGAUUCCUCUGCAAAAUGAUCCCUGAAAUGACCCCCAAAAUAAGCCCUGUGAUAAAAUUAUCCAAAGUGUUUGAUCAUUCAUACACCCCUAUCGUAACCGUGUCUCAUGAGACUGGAUGAACUAAUGUUUUUGAUAAAAUAAGACAACCUGUCUUGUUACUAUCCAGUCAGUUGCAUGAACAACUAAGAUGCGAAGAUUUGUAUGCAAGGAGAACAGCAUCUCCUCCAAAAGGGAGGACCCACCAAAGGAUUUUGGAGAAGAAUCUUCCAAGAUCUGGAUCUAUUAGUGAUCUUAACGUAGAGAUUAAUCAUAUAAUUGAAUGACACCUUUUUGAUGAGGCAUUCUGUGUGACAAAAGCCUCAGAUGUAGACACCUAAUUUGGCCGUCCAGAGGACAUUAAUGACAUCAAAUUAGACCUAACAUUACAAUCCUCUGGAAUUUGAUUCUGGUUGAAAGCCACUCUGUUUGGCUCCCGGGGCCUAGGAUGUAGUCCAGUCCAAUGAGAGGGCACCAAAGUAAAGCCCUGCCCUAUUUAUUGAUGCUUGGAGCUGUAGAGACAUCUCCAGAUUGAACGCUAGUAGACCGAUUCCUCUAAAGAUGGAGGUCAAUAGAUCACCUACUGGAGUCAACCAAAUUUAGAAUUUCUGCUCAAUGGCCAACUGUAGAUUUGGCAAUUAAAGAAACUACCCCCCCCAUUUAAAAACAUAUUCUAUUAAUCAUUGUUGCUGGUAGGUCUAAAGUUAACAAAACUCUGAGUUGAGUUCAUAGCACUGUCCAUGUUAGUCUUAGAAGAAUAAAGUGUGCUUGGGUCACAGUUACUGUGCAUGAGUACUCCCACAUCCUGCUAAGACAGAGGGCCCUCGCUGUUUGAGGCAUGGUUGAAAGAAAACCCUUGUUGUCUGUCUGCAAAGAUGUUCCAGAAGAGAACAGAGGAUACUCACACCAAAGACAACCCCUUUCUCCUCCUCACAUUUAUUGCAUCAGCAUAUCAAAUGAUGCCCCAGUUCUAUAUGCCCCUUUAAUUUUAGAUGGCCUGUAGGCUGAAAGUAGCAUCUCGGAUUAGCCUUUGUAUCCCAAUCUAAUCUCCAUAGAAACUAAUAGAUACUAACUCUUCGUGUUGAAAGCAUUGUGGGGUUUUGAAUCCCCUUGCCCUUCGUUCAAUCUGUGUCCCGCUGGAAGCACUAAGACAAUUAAGGUUCUGUUAGCCACUUCUUUAGCCUAGCAAAGAAUCUUGGGACCCAUGAAAAGAGUCACCGACUGGCUCUCACCUCUGAGGAGAGGGCCCGUCUGCACAUGAUCAGGAUUUAGAUCAUUACCUCAACGCUCGUUUUACCUCCUUUCUUGUAUACUUCAACCCCCGAAUACCUCAAGUAUGUCACUCAUAGCUACUGUGCAUUUAAACAUUCAAAUACCUCAGCAUGUUACUCUCAUUCUGAAUACCUCAUUUUUACUCUUUUAUUUUAUUUACCUGGUCAGAUAUUUAUGCAUUACAAAAUAUACCUCAUACUUUCAGUCGUCUUGUGUUUCAGUGCAGUACAUGUCCCAUAGCUCUAGGACCAAAGAUCAUGGUACUGUUUUGAGUUUAAAUAAAAUUUGUAUUAUGAUCAUCGCUCCAUCUUGCAACCCUGAACAGCUUUUGGUUUGGUUUCUCUAAUCUACUGUAAAUUGCCUGGUAAACUAUGCCUUUUAUCACCAAGAAACCAAAUAUUUCAGAUGAAAGCAUUGUGCCAAAAUGAUCUGUGAGAGUUCUGUGCCAAACAGGGUUGGCAUGUGGACCACGCUGUUGUAGACGACAGAUGUCACUGGACCAUUAUAUCAUAGAUACAAAUCUUAAAGCAGAGAACCUGAGGAUAAAUCCUCGCUCUCAGACUGGAUGCGCUUAAGAGGGCUGUGCCCCAUUUAUCCUUACCUCAUGAUGAUGAUGAUGAUGAACAUGCCGAUUCCACUCAUACUUUGUUAAUGUGUGCAAGUCGUGAGGGGAAUAGCACAUGACCUCUUUUAAAGAAUUAAGAAUAUUGAACGCACAAGAACGACGUCUAAUUUCAGCACAAUUUACAGAUAUUUCAGUGUGGAUUUUAGGAUGCUUGAUGUUGCUUGUGGAGGACCUGGAGACAAGUCUAAACUCAACCAUUCUGACCGUGGUUCAAACAAACAUAUCAGGGGAUUACACCUAAUGGUGACAACAGGCUGGUUUAUUAUUUAAGUGGAGCUAUAGCACAUUGAAGGCGAGCCAGUUUUAGUCCACAUACCCUGCUGCUUUGAACCGAACACCUAGUUUCACCAAUAAGAUUGUUUUUUGCUUUUCAGUAUUACUCUGUGAAAUGUUCAUUCAUGUUGCAUCAGUUUUUUUAAUUAAGACUGCAGAAUUCUAUCUUUAAGAUCCUUAGGUCUUCACUCUUAAAGAGGAAAAAUGUAUUUUAAACCUUUAUUUUGUUUUUCAUUUUGUUGCAUGCUUUAAAAAGUCCUUGUAUUAGACUGACGUCUCUCAGAUAGGUGUUGAAAAACUCAGAUGGGGUGGGUAGCUAUUGGGAUGAUUUUACCAAAAUAUAUACCCAAAGACGUGUAUGUGUGUGUUAAUAUUGCGUUGGAUGGAAUUAACCUUUGACCUUGGCGAUUGUAUUUCCUGUUCUCUAGAGGCUCUGCAGAGCACAACCUGUUCAGCCAGCCAUGCCUCAAUUCCUGAGAAACAAUAGAGGCAGUUUUCAGAUAAAUGCAGAAGGCAGGUCUGCCCCUCGACCAUUAGCGCUUCAUUUUCUUUAAAUCCCUCUUACAUGCAUAAUGUGGGUAGAUAAAUUAACAUAUUGUCCUUCACACUUGAGCCCUGUAACUUAUGGAAGGUGUAAAAGCUUUUUGCUGAACAUAGAUUUACUUUUCCAACAAUGGUGAAUUUGUAAGGUGGCCAUUUUGUGUUUUGACCUAGUAAGGGGAAUUCUCUCACUGUCAUGUGAGAAGCAGCUAGGUUUCUCCAGCACAAACCAGCAAUCAACUCCCCCUCUCGUCUUUAAAAGAAUCCAGGAAGUGUGGUGAUGGCUGCUGAGCAUGUGAUAGGUUGACUGCACUCCUGCUCGGUGGGUCUUUUUUUUUUUUUAUUGGGCCCCUGUGGUUUUUGUCCACCAUUUUAUUUCUGGCCUCUCACAGCUUUAAGAGAGAGAAAAAGCAAAGCUGCACCAGGUGACGUGUGCAAGGUCGUAGACCUCCUUUUAAUGAUUGUAUACUCGAAAGAAAAAGAGAGAAAGAAAGAAAAAAAGUUCUGAAAAUUUAGAAAGGAAAAAAAAUAACUCAGGUAGUUCUAAGCAGCCCUGCCCCCCAGGUGUUGCAUUGAAACAUGUCCCGUAGUGAUGAUGUAAUGACUUUUUUCUUUCCCCCUUGUUAUGACCUCUCAGUACUAGUCAGAGUCUUUUGUGUCCAUUUACAUAUUAUAAAAGCAAAUUAUUUCCCAAUCUGAAAAAAUAAUUCUUUCGAUUAGUUUCCCAUGAUUACGUUUUUUUGUUUGGUUUUUUUUGCCAAUUUCUAUUUUUCCUUUUACAAAAAAAGUACAAAUACUUCACACCGCUUGAUGCUCAUUGGCCCUUUUAGAAUGUAUUUUGUGAAGAAAAGGGUUAAAUGGGAUCUUGUUGAUGCUCACUUGAUACAACCAGCUACUGGAAGCCUUACAAGACAGAACAGAGACCACAGAAAAUACUCAGUUCUUCUAUAAGAUCUGUUGCUAGAUGUUCCAAACCAGCAAUACUCGGAGUAUAAGGUGGAAUCACGUGGUUAUAGUGCAGCACUGUGUUCAUUUAUGAACCAGCUUUAACAUCAGCCAAGAUGAGAGAUGUCUGGCCUGAGGGGAUAACAGCCAGCUGAUCUUGUCCACACUCUUGUUUCUUUUGUGUCCUGUUCUCCCAGUAGCUGGAUGUGUGUGGUGUGAGCGUUGUGUUUGUGCGCUGCAUCUGUGUUGUCUGAGAAGAGUUCCAAUGAAUGUAUCCUCCUCUAGUCCAAGAGGCAGGGCGAGCCAGCAUGGCCAGCUGAGUUUAGAUGGGUGCUGCUGGCGCUUCCUUAUCCAUGCCACAGUGUGUGUGUGUGUGUGUGUGUGUGUGUGUGUGUGUGUGUGUGUGUGUGUGUGUGUGUGU